GGAAUGUUUGACGUAAACGUAAUAAGUAGUGUAGUGAAAUCUUUGUGAUUGAAGUUCGCUUCUCCAGAGCUAGAAUCGAAAAGACCUACUGACCACCCCUGUAACUAACCGAAACAACCCCCGGAGCAGAUCAGAACGAAAACUCGUUUCCUCUUCAAGCUAAAGUCAAGCUAGAGCCCCCCUACUCUAUUUAACGAACCAGGGAAAGGAAAGAGGAGAAUCAGGGUUAGCGCAAGUGAUCGAAUGAGGAAUCAAAAUUAUUAGAAGGAGACAGAAUCAAUUAAAGAUUAUUCAAGCAGACUGAUGGAGGUUGUAAAAAAUAUGAGAUUGAUGGGAGAAGACAUCUCAGAUCAGAAGGUGGUUGAGAAAGUUUUGAUUAG
rnacentral:misc_RNA from 1 species